rnacentral:tRNA from 1 species
GGGCCCGUAGCUCAGUGGUAGAGCACGCGGCUCAUAACCGCUUGGUCGUAGGUUCGAAUCCUACCGGGCCCA